rnacentral:tRNA from 1 species
AAUGGGGUGCUCUGAUAAAAGGACCACUUUGAUAGAGUGGAUGAUGUGAGUUAGCCUCACCUCCAUUG